rnacentral:lncRNA from 1 species
UUGAUUCUGGUCACAUGAUUUAAUUAAAUGAACCCUUUUUUAUUUGCUGUCACGUUUUUUCCUUGGACCAGGCCCUGCACCGCUGUUAUCAGUACCCCACGUUCAGGCCCACUCAUAUUAUCCAUUCAUUUUCUUUUAAUUUUGUUAUUCUUAUUUUAUUUUGCUGUUUUUGUUUUUAAUUCAUAAAAAAUAUUUUAUUUAUUCAAAAAAAUACUUUUCACAUUUUUCAAUGUUUU